rnacentral:misc_RNA from 1 species
UACGUAGGGUCCAAGCGUUGUCCGGAAUUAUUGGGCGUAAGGAGCUCGUAGGCGGUCUAUUAAGUCAGAAGUGAAAUCUCAGGGCUCAACCCUGAAAUUGCUCCUGAUACUGGUGGACUUGAGGUAGGUAGGGGAAGGUGGAAUUCCUGGUGUAGCGGUGAAAUGCGCAGAUAUCAGGAGGAACACCGGUGGCGAAGGCGGCCUUCUGGGCCUGUUCUGACGCUGAGGAGCGAAAGCGUGGGGAGCAAACAGG